rnacentral:rRNA from 1 species
UACGUAGGUGACAAGCGUUGUCCGGAUUUACUGGGCGUAAAGCGUGCGCAGGCGGUUUUGUAAGCCAGAUGUGAAAUCCCCGGGCUUAACCUGGGAAUGGCAUUUGGGACUGCAAGGCUUGAGUGCGGCAGAGGAGACUGGAAUUCCUGGUGUAGCAGUGAAAUGCGUAGAUAUCAGGAGGAACACCGAUGGCGAAGGCAGGUCUCUGGGCUGACACUGACGCUCAUGCACGAAAGCGUGGGGAGCAAACAGG